CAGGGUGACAGCCCCGUACACAAAAAUGCACAUACUGUGAGCUCGAUGAGUAGGGCGGGACACGUGGUAUCCUGUCUGAAUAUGGGGGGACCAUCCUCCAAGGCUAAAUACUCCUGACUGACCGAUAGUGAACCAGUACCGUGAGGGAAAGGCGAAAAGAACCCCGGCGAGGGGAGUGAAAAAGAACCUGAAACCGUGUACGUACAAGCAGUGGGAGCCUCUUAAUGGGGUGACUGCGUACCUUUUGUAUAAUGGGUCAGCGACUUAUAUUCUGUAGCAAGGUUAACCGAAUAGGGGAGCCGAAGGGAAACCGAGUCUUAACUGGGCGUUAAGUUGCAGGGUAUAGACCCGAAACCCGGUGAUCUAGCCAUGGGCAGGUUGAAGGUUGGGUAACACUAACUGGAGGACCGAACCGACUAAUGUUGAAAAAUUAGCGGAUGACUUGUGGCUGGGGGUGAAAGGCCAAUCAAACCGGGAGAUAGCUGGUUCUCCCCGAAAGCUAUUUAGGUAGCGCCUCGUGAAUUCAUCUCCGGGGGUAGAGCACUGUUUCGGCAAGGGGGUCAUCCCGACUUACCAACCCGAUGCAAACUGCGAAUACCGGAGAAUGUUAUCACGGGAGACACACGGCGGGUGCUAACGUCCGUCGUGAAGAGGGAAACAACCCAGACCGCCAGCUAAGGUCCCAAAGUCAUGGUUAAGUGGGAAACGAUGUGGGAAGGCCCAGACAGCCAGGAUGUUGGCUUAGAAGCAGCCAUCAUUUAAAGAAAGCGUAAUAGCUCACUGGUCGAGUCGGCCUGCGCGGAAGAUGUAACGGGGCUAAACCAUGCACCGAAGCUGCGGCAGCGACACUAUGUGUUGUUGGGUAGGGGAGCGUUCUGUAAGCCUGUGAAGGUGUACUGUGAGGUAUGCUGGAGGUAUCAGAAGUGCGAAUGCUGACAUAAGUAACGAUAAAGCGGGUGAAAAGCCCGCUCGCCGGAAGACCAAGGGUUCCUGUCCAACGUUAAUCGGGGCAGGGUGAGUCGACCCCUAAGGCGAGGCCGAAAGGCGUAGUCGAUGGGAAACAGGUUAAUAUUCCUGUACUUGGUGUUACUGCGAAGGGGGGACGGAGAAGGCUAUGUUGGCCGGGCGACGGUUGUCCCGGUUUAAGCGUGUAGGCUGGUUUUCCAGGCAAAUCCGGAAAAUCAAGGCUGAGGCGUGAUGACGAGGCACUACGGUGCUGAAGCGACAAAUGCCCUGCUUCCAGGAAAAGCCUCUAAGCAUCAGGUAACAUCAAAUCGUACCCCAAACCGACACAGGUGGUCAGGUAGAGAAUACCAAGGCGCUUGAGAGAACUCGGGUGAAGGAACUAGGCAAAAUGGUGCCGUAACUUCGGGAGAAGGCACG
rnacentral:rRNA from 1 species